AGUCGAGCGGUAGAGAGAAGCUUGCUUCUCUUGAGAGCGGCGGACGGCCCCUUUAUGCCUAGGAAUCUGCCUAGUGGGGGGGGAUAACGUUCGGAAACGGACGCUAAUACCGCAUACGUCCUACGGGAGAAAGCGGGGGACCUUCGGGCCUCGCGCCAUUAGAUGAGCCUAGGUCGGAUUACCUAGUGGGGGAGGUAAUGGUUCCCCAGGGUUACUAUCCGUAUCUGGUCUGAGAGGAAGAUCAUUCCCUCUGGAAUUGAAACGGGGCCAAAACUCCCACGGAGGGGAGUUGGGGGAAAUAUUGAAACAUGUGGGGAAAGCCUGAUCCAUCCUUGCCUUGUGGGGAAAAAAGGUCCUUCGAUUUGCAAACCCUCUUUUUUUGGGAGGGAAGGAUAUAAAUUUUAACUC
rnacentral:rRNA from 1 species